rnacentral:rRNA from 1 species
CAGCCGCCACGGGAAUACGAAGGGGGCUAGCGUUGCUCGGAAUUACUGGGCGUAAAGGGCGCGUAGGCGGACAGUUCAGUCGGGGGUGAAAGCCCGGGGCUCAACCUCGGAAUUGCCUUCGAUACUGGCUGUCUUGAGUAUGAGAGAGGUGUGUGGAACUCCGAGUGUAGAGGUGAAAUUCGUAGAUAUUCGGAAGAACACCAGUGGCGAAGGCGACACACUGGCUCAUUACUGACGCUGAGGCGCGAAAGCGUGGGGAGCAAACAGGAUUAGAUACCCCUGUAGUCCCUGUCUCUUAUAC